UAUGGCUUGUAAGUUUUGGCAACCAAAGCAAUCUUGUAAACAUACCAGAUUCCUGUCAAAGGACCAAGGCCUCCCUUGCAUUACCUUAUGCUUAUCUUCUCUAUCGUGGAACUCGAUUAAGAACUUAUUCUUCCCUACCUCUUUGAAAGUUACUGUCCCCUCUGUUUUCCAUACCUUGAUCAUUGUAGACUUCAAUGCACCUUUGUUGAUAUCUUUCUCUGAUACAAUGAUUGCUGCAAGACACUUUUUGCUCUUCUCUGUUAAGGCCAAAACAUCCUCUUCUGAUAGAUUAACGGAUAGCUGCUCUUCUUCAGUUAACCGUAGCCCCUCGUAUAAGUUGGAGAGCUCGAUCUCCAUUGUGUCUAGACAGCCUACAAACACUCGUGGCUCUACAGAAGGAAGAAAGUAGAGACAAACCUCAAUGCUCUACAAGAGACAAAGAGACGAUACCCCACCUUUCCUAGAGAGAGAGGGGACUCAUGUAAAGUGGCGCCUAAAACCUACGUCCCUUUAUACGAACAGUAUUAUUGUCAUCUUUGACUUAUUUUGCACUACUCUUAUAUAGUAGUGGAGGAAAUUCACAAAACUGCUACGUACAAUCGUAGCAUAUAGUCGCCGCGGAGUCGCCACAUCAUCAGUUGAUUUAAAAAAUAAAUAAAACAAAAACGAAGCCAAAAACUGCCCAGAGCUAAUUCCCACUUCUUGUUCCACUGCUAUGCAACCUCAUCUUCGUGCUCACAGAAGGUUCGUGGCUUCGUGAAUCGUUGUGCUCUGGCAGUGGUCUUCGAUCUCACAGAAAUUUUGUGGUGCUUUGGUCUAAAGCUUGCGGUUGUCUUCGAUCUCUCAGAAGCUUAGGUUGUGGCGUCAUGGUGGUCUGGUCUGAAGCUUGGGUCUUCGUGCUCACAGAAGCUUCGUUGCAUUGUCUUCUUCUCGAGGUUGUGUUCGGCUUCAUGGUGUCGUCUUCUACUCAAGCUCGUGCUCUGCACCGAGAUCUUCAAGUCUUGAAGUGGAUCUCUGCGGGUAUUUUUCUGGGUCUCUAGGAUCUUCGUGUGGGUCUUCAAGAGGCCGUAAGAUAUUCGUCAAGGUCGUCUUCUUGGUGGAUCUCAACGUUAUUACGAACUUUUUGAAAGUACUGAUUGCUCGUGAUAGAAAGGCUGCUACUCUUUUGCUUCAGAGGCUGCUCUUCUACUUCCCUCCAAUUUCAGCUAUGGAUUUGAACAGAUGUAAUUUGAGUUGGAUGGAUCACAGUCGGUACAGAAUGGGUUGGAUGGAACACAAUCAGCGCAAUGAGAACCAAUACAAUCAGUCAGCAAUUAUAGCUUUAAUGGACAAGGCAGGACAUUUUGGAAAAAAUGUUAAGAGUCCUGUUAUUUUGUAUGUUCAUCUUGGAACAAUUGUAAAGCACUUGACGUGCAAAUUCUAGUGAAGAUUUGAUGAGACUAUCAUUAUUUGUUUUAGACUUGAUUUCUGGAGAAUUGAGUGCUGGAGACUUUAUUUUUGGAGAUUUCUGGAGAGUUGAUUCAUUUCUUUUAAUGAAAAUUGUAAAGCACUUGACGUCCAAGUUUAUGUAUGUUUUCUGGACAAGCAUAAUGUGAUGCACUAUUAUUGGUGAUGCA